CCCAUGCGCGCAUCGGGUCAGCUCUCUCAGACUUGACGAGCGAAGCAGUCAGAUCGGGUGGCUUCUCAACGACGGUGACUACUGAGGUAGCCCAAUUGGCUGAAGUUAAACCGUGGUCGGUUCAUGUCUGCUGGACAGGUCACCUGCAGAUUUGGAGUCUUUCAUAGCCCCGCUGUACUUCUCACCAGUAUAAGCUGAUCAGACCAUGUUGGCUGGCCUGUGUUACAACCACUGUGUCCACAGUCCAGCCAGGAGAAAAGCUGAUGACACAAAUCAGUACAGCAAGGUGUACUACAAAAAAGUCCAGGAAUUGGAGCUUGUACUCAUUGAAGGUGGAGAAGGACUACAGUUACAUCGCAGACCUCCACAGUGCCAUCCUCCUCCGACUGUUGUUUACUACUGAGGAGCUGCCUAGAAGCAGAACCAGGAGACCUGAUGAUCCCCGUCAACAUGGGGAUCAGUCAGGUGUCCCUGCCCCAACUGUGUUGCUAAAUACAGCAAAACGUACAACAAAAAGUAAUAUGGUUGGUUUUGAAAUGUGGUAAUCAAGUCAGAGAGGUGAUUGUGAUAUAUUUAAUCAUCUCCACAGAAGCGAUACGAUGCUACGAGUAAAGUCUGAACUAUCUUCAUGAUCAGUCAAGAUACAUCUGGACACACCUUGUUUAAAAUUAUCUAUUUGUGAUGUAGGUUGUAGUUUUA